AAAAUCCCAUCAGGUAAUACCUAACCAGUAGCCUGUACCUAGUUCCUUGGAGCCGAAGUGGUAACACUAGGUUUAAGCGUAGGACAGGGAGCAAACGAGCCGAAACGAAAGUGAAGCUAUAGAGCCACGAAAUUAUUAUCUAAAUGAAGAGGUCGAUGCCCUUUGAUUGGUCGCAGACAACAUUCUAUAAUUCGUUAGGGUGAGAUUUAUAGAACUCUUCCGGGGUCUGAGGGCU
rnacentral:ncRNA from 1 species